GAUGAACGCUGGCGGCGUGCCUAACACAUGCAAGUCGAGCGAGAAGUCUUGGAACAAAUCUUCGGAAGAGUGAAGAGAUGGAAAGCGGCGGACGGGUGAGUAACGCGUAGGCAACCUGCCCCAUACAGAGGGACAGCCUUGGGAAACCGGGAUUAAUACCUCAUAAUGCAUCUACACUGCCUGGUGUGGAUGCCAAAGAUUUAUCGGUAUGGGAUGGGCCUGCGUCUGAUUAGCUGGUUGGCGGGGUAACGGCCCACCAAGGCAACGAUCAGUAGCCGACCUGAGAGGGUGAUCGGCCACAUUGGAACUGAGACACGGUCCAAUCUCCUACGGGAGGCAGCAGUGGGGAAUAUUGCACAAUGGGCGCAAGCCUGAUGCAGCAACGCCGCGUGAGCGAAGAAGGCCUUUGGGUCGUAAACCUCUGUCAGGAGGGAAGAAGUGCAUUUGUGCUAAUCAGCGAAUGUUUGACGGUACCUCCAAAGGAAGCACCGGCUAACUCCGUGCCAGCCGCCGCGGUAAUAC
rnacentral:rRNA from 1 species